rnacentral:lncRNA from 1 species
CCGAAUGUAGUAAACCCCAAAAAAAAAAAAAAAAAUUAUUACAUGUAUUUGUGUGUGUGUGUGUGUGUGUGUAUGUGUGGACUACAGAAAAUCCAACCCCUUAUCGUGUACGGUCACAAUACCUUACGUUACACGCCAAUUCUGGAAAAAUCCAGCGCCCACCUUUCUAUUCUUGUUAUCAACUACUCGGUCCUCGCCACAUUUACUGCGUUCACAUUGUAAAUCUCUCUCAUAACUCUGUAUACUAAUUAUAUAUAUAUAUAGACGUGUAUGCACUGGAGUUGUUGUGUAUGCAAACCAGGAAGUACCGGAGAAGGAGUCAUGGCAGAGAAUGAGGUGAAGUUGCUGGGUUCAUGGCCGAGUCCAUUUGUGAUGAGGCCAAGAAUCGCUUUUAACCUGAAAUCAAUAGACUACGAGUUCGUGGAGGAGACAAUGGCGCCCAAAAGCGAGCUUCUUCUUCGAUCCAAUCCCGUCCACAAGAAAAUACCAGUUCUCAUCCAUGGUGACAAGUCCGUAUGCGAGUCUCUCAUCAUCGUAGAGUAC